ensembl:lncRNA
CUUUAAUGCUGCAGCAACACACUGCUAUGUCAAAUUAAUCUGAUGGACUAUUUACUGUAAAAUCUUAGUUCAGCACAGUAAUUUGUGUUUAAGAAGCUAUGUUUUCUUUUAUAUAAAGGCUGGUGUGUGUUUCUUUAAGACUCAGAGUUGAACGUGAAAGUAUUUAUUCAGCUCGGUUUACUUGUUACUUGAACUCACUCACACACUUGUGUAACUGGCAAGAGCUGAAGAGCCCAGCAGACGCUCACAGAUCUAUGCAGAUGUACAAUGGGGUCGUUUUUAUCGCAUUCAGGAGAACAAUCUACAGUAGUGUCACACACAGAAGUGUCUGCAGAGGUCGAGUCCACAGAGAGGGUUAUGAAGGUCAAAGUUCGUGAGUGUGGGACAGAGAGGACCAUCGUCCUGAGUGUCACUGAGGAGCAGUUAAAGAGGAUCACAGUGCUGCAGCUGAAGAAGAAGAUACAAUCUGUCUUCAGCAUCGCAGUGCGUACACUGUCGAUCGGUUUCUGGCCGCUGUGGGACGAUGAGCUGCUGACUGACCGUGGAAUCAAAGAUGGAUCAACCGUUGAGUUGAACGGACCCGUAUAUGAAUGUGGUCGUGUAAGUAGUGGAAUGGGUGACAGGGAUGGCAGAAACCAGAGUAUGGACUGCGUGGCUAUAAUGUUAACAGGAAGUGAUGUCAGCAGUGAGUCAGCACCACAUCCUCAACCAGCAGCAUUCGAAGAUCUCCACAAGGAUUCAUGCUGAGGACUUCAGACAGCAAAACAAGUCACACAGGUGGACAGAUCAGUGUUUUCUACAUCACAUUAACAGUCUAACUGGUACAAUGACUGGAGUAAAUCAGCUCCACUGAGUCUUAAAGAAGGCUCAUGUUAUCCUGCUCUGUCCUCACCAUGACUUAUUAUCAUCUGGGGACACAAAGACACAUUUGGACUCGUCGUAACAUUUCAGAUAUUUGUCUAAAAUCAUCCGUUGUACAAAGCUGUCCACGUCUUCACUCUUUUACUCAGAACUAAUGUGACAAAUUUAAAUGUGUCAUCAUAUAUGUAGGUAAAGGGUCAGCUGUUUUAAUACCAGUGUUGGUCAAGUUACUUUCAAGAUGCAAAAUGUUAAAUAUUAUUAGUUACUGUAGUUUCUGGGUUUCUCUUCUCAAAGGUGUCGGCGUGUAGUUUGAUCAUAAAUGAUUCUGCGGAAGCAAGGCUGGGUGGAAGGAUGAAGCAAUCUGUAUUAAAACAGAAUCUAGCGCCUUGAGUCCGGAUCAGAAGCAGCUGCAUUCUGAUAUUAUCAAUUCUGUGGACAAAACAAUGCCAAUAUGCUUUGCCCUCUGCCCCAUCAAACCUCCGCCUUUGCUCUUAGGAGGUUUUCCAAGUGCCACCCUCCCAUCUCUACUCGUAGGGGCCUUCUUAAAGUCCCUUGGGCUGUACCUGCCUACUCCUAAUUGGUCACUGUGGUGGGUUGAGGGUCCAUCAAUCCAAUCGACAUGAAAAGGAGGUGGUUUAUCUCCCUGCUCAUUUAUCUCCCUGCUCAUUUCCCAGUGGAAAUUCGUCAAAGACGAAUUUCCACUGCUUUUUGCAGGGGACAAUAAAGUUUUUUCUGAUUCUGAUUCUGAUAAAUGGCUAAAUCUGUUACUGUCCCUCCUUGGGUCUUGUACUCCAAAAUUACCUAAAUGAUCUCUCUAUCCUUUUCUGGAGAUGUACACGUUUAGAUAUCUUCCUCCACCUGACAUAGGAGUCAGGCUCUGUUUUAGUCCCUAUAGUGGCCUUGUCUCUUGCUAACCUUUGACCCACACACAGCUGAAUGCUGCCUCCAGGUCCCUUGGAGCUGUGAGCCCCAUAUUGUCUACAUUCCUUAGCUUACACAAGGAGGAGCAGGUUAAAUUUAAACUGAGUUGAAUCAAAGGCCAGAAUGUGUUGCAGUCCAGACACCUCAUUACCUUCAUUUUAAACUAAUAUAUCACGCCACAAUGUUACAGGCCUACCACAUACGGCUCAUUUCAGUCACACAGAGACUGAACAAAUAUGUUACAGGCUGGUUUAUAUUAAACACACAGAGCCUUUAUUCAUGUGGUCGUGUUGGUGUGGAUGCAGUUCUUAAAAAACAACCAAGAUGGCUUCACUUCAGUUGGUCUCUAUAUAUACUAUAUCUACCCCAUAUAUUAACCUAAGUAUAAAACUGUUUUAAUACUGAGGUUUAAAAGUGUAUUGAGUGAUUCCUAGGAGAGUUUGUGGAUUGUGUGGGUUAGUUUGCCAACAACUGAAAGCAUUAAUAUUUAACAAUCAACUAUUUUGUCUGCAUGGACAGCUCUGCUAUCAAAUCAUAGAGAGAAGCUCAGAUCACUUCUGGAUUCCAGUUGGAUGACUAAAAGGACUAAAAUCUUCCAUUGUGCCUUUGAAACUGGACCUGAGUGAUUUAUAAUAAUAUGAUUGUUACAGAAUCAUUUUUAUUCUGAUUGUUUGAGGAUGAUCAGUCUUGAGCUGUACUGUGUUUCAUGACAUUUAUUUGUUUUUUCUUCUACUGUUACUCUGACUGAUGUGUGACCGACUGAUGUGGCUGCAAACUUUUAACCAGCACACACAAAUUAUGUGUAAUAACCUUUAAACAGCCAGUCUAUCAUUCUCUCUACUGGAUCAUGAGCAUGUCAGGAGCAGUGGGGUGAAGCAGCUCGCAAACUUUCAAAUGUGUCUCUAAAUCUCUGACUCUGAAAGAGUGUCGGAAAGACGUUUGUGUUGAGAAAUGUGUGUGAAAACUUUGCUUGUUUGACGUCACUUAUUUCAGUAUUCACAGUGAACACAUGACAAUGACUGUAACACUGGCAGGAUCGAACAUUUUUCACAUGACUAUAUGUAUAUUUGA